GUUACUCUGAGUGCAUAUCCACACCGGGCGAGCUUAAAAAAUAUGCCCGGCCACGGUGGGAUUCGAACCUACGACCUUUGGAAUACUAGCCCAAUGCUCUUCCAACUGAGCUACGCGGUCAGGACGGUUCGAGUAAGUGAUAUUUCGGAACAGUAUCAAGUUCCUUCAAUACCAAUGUGUUCUUGUAAUAUGAAUUUUUUCUGUGCUAGUGUUGUGUACUCAGGUGAAUAAUAUCG